CACCAUUUCCCAUUAAUCAUAAAAUAAUCAUUUAGCAUUCCCAUAUGCUUCUGUUGAUUAAAAAAUAAUCAACAAGAUCCUUGCACUCCUUCUGUUUCAUAAAGUUUUCUAAUGCAAUAAGUUGAUCAUAACGAGGAGCUCUAGAUUUCUUCUGUUACUGCAGCUUAACAUUAUUAACGAAGUAUGACUUACUAUCUUAACAUUAUAUAUCAAAGCAAAUGGCAGAUUGGCUUGCCAUUGACCGGAAAGAAUAAAAGAUUGGAAGGUGAAAUAGGUCUGG
rnacentral:lncRNA from 1 species